UAUACAGCGAAACUGCGAAUGGCUCAUUAUAUAAGUUAUCGUUUAUUUGAUAGUGCCUUACUACUUGGAUAACCGUGGUAAUUCUAGAGCUAAUACAUGCUAAAAACCCCGACUUCGGAAGGGGUGUAUUUAUUARAUACAAAACCAAUGCCCUUCGGGGCUCUUUGGUGAUUCAUGAUAACUAUACGAAUCGCACGGCCUUGCGCCGGCGAUGGUUCAUUCAAAUUUCUUCCCUAUCAACUUUCGAUGUUUGGGUAUUGGCCAAACAUGGUUGCAACGGGUAACGGAGGGUUAGGGCUCGACCCCGGAGAAGGAGCCUGAGAAACGGCUACUACAUCCAAGGAAGGCAGCAGGCGCGCAAAUUACCCAAUCCCGACUCGGGGAGGUAGUGACAAUAAAUACUGAUACAGGGCCCUUUCGGGCCUUGUAAUUGGAAUGAGUACAAUUUAAAUCCCUUAACGAGGAACAAUUGGAGGGCAAGUCUGGUGCCAGCAGCCGCGGUAAUUCCAGCUCCAAUAGCGUAUAU
rnacentral:rRNA from 1 species